ensembl:lncRNA
GUUGAAGUGAAGGCUUCCUAGGCUACAUUUUUAAAGGAAAGCAAGAAGAUGCUAGUAAAAGAAUGUUCCUCUCAUCCCAUGAGCAAAAUAUAUAUAUAAAUGGAAACCAGUCCUUAGCAAAGAAGGCAGGGAAGCAUCUGAAUAAUCUCUCCAGCUAUGCCUGAAGCCUGAAAGUUACUCUCUGCUGCGGGAAGGAGCUGAUUAACCGUGGGCAUGUCAAGAGCUAGAGGAAGGAAGAAUCGAUCUGAUUUACAGUGUGACCCAUGGACACCAGUUUGACUUGAACUGAGGUGAGAGCCCUGCACUACCUGCCCCUUUCCUGGAGGCCUCGCUGGGGACAGCAGUGCAGAGAGCGCGGCGUGGCCCUGCCGGAUGCCGACCACCUCCUCUUCCUGUUGCUCCGCCUCUCUGGGCCUUCACGUCCGUGCAUGACUGCAAGCGCACCUGCGAGGCCUGAAUUUUUACUCCACAGGUGGAGCGGCAGGUCCACCUCCUGGCCGUGGACAAUGGGCCAAGGUCGUGUGUUACAACCAGGGGCGGGCUCUUCCCUCAGUCCUGGUGUUUCCCUUGCAUUUUAAGGACAGCCGUCCUCCUUCCUCAUUUACCCCAAGGGCAGGUGGAGAUAUUUUCUGCUUCUUAU